GUCCAGGCCAGUGCUUAAGCCAAUGGAGAAGGGAGGAGGUAAGGAAGUUGGAGUCAAAGAGGCAGUCUUGGGUGAGCAAAUUAUAGACCUUGUAAGAACAUGUCCUUAAAACUUUUCAAUUCUUGCUCUGUAUUAUAAGUAAAAUAAUUCAGGCUAUCUAUCUUACUGAAUAUUUUAAAGAUGAGUCUGUUUUUAUUAUGUUUUAAUUGUUCGAUUCAUUUAUAUCAUUUAAUUGGUAGAAUUCUGUUUUUAUUUUUACUUAUACAAAACACACAGAGUCAAGUUCUCCUAAGUCAAAACAGAAGAGAGAGUGAGAAAAAAUUCCCUUUUGAAUAGAAAAACAAGAGUUUUUUCUUUCUUUCUUUGCAUAUCAUAUGGUUUAAUAAAUUUUAUUCAAGUACUUAAACAAUUGAAAAGAAAUAGCAUUGAGUGCAAUCAUGUAGGUGUUUGCAAAGUUCUGAAAACUAUUUGGCUAUAGUAUUGUGUAAGAAAACUGUCAUGCAAAAGUGAAAGCAAUAUUUUUUAAGGGUAAAUAAACCAGGUAUCAUAGCAGACACCGUGGAUCACUAAGAUGAAACAGUUAUAGGUUCUGUUUUAGGAACAUUCGUCUUGUAGAGGUAAGAAGACUGCUUCAAGAAUCUUCCUGACCACUAACCUUGGUUGGAUCACUCUCUUCUCUGCUUGAACAUCACUGUUUUCCCCCCUUCAUUAAAUCUGCUUCAUAAAUUGAAGCAAUCCAUUUAUUUGUCUGUUGUACCCACUAGACCAUAAACCCCUUGAAGGCAGGAAUGAUGCCCUACUCCUUACAAGAGACUAUGUGAAAGGCAGGACAUAGAAACUUAACAGGCAGAGUAUAAUUAUACCAUAGGAAAUUUGUCGCAUUUUAUCAUUCAGAGGUACUGAUACGGUUUGGCUCUGUGUUCCCACCCAAUGUGGAAUUUUAAUCCGCAUAUGUCAGGGGAGGGACCUGGUGGGAGAUGAUUAGAUCAUGGAGGAGGAUUUCCCCCA
rnacentral:lncRNA from 1 species